CAAAAACUCUCCCGGCUUUCAUAUUUCUUUCUUCACUGUCAGUUCUGUGGCGUUCUUGAGGCAUUUGAACAGAGAUUUGCCGUCAGCGAGAAUUUCCGUUGAGUCUGACGAUUUCUUAUUCACCUUCCGGAAAAAUCCCUACCUCCUUGGACGUAAGAUGGCAGUGUGAUCUCAAGGAAUCUCGGAAAGAGUAAACAGGCUGGAGUUAUGUACAAUUAAAUUUUUCUUCAGCUAUGUUUUCAAGCAUAUUUGUUCAUCCUCAACCUCUGUAAUAACUCGCAUUGCAACUCUUAUUGUUUUAGACGUACAGCAUGUAUGUUUAUUAUCGAUCGGAAACUGAUUUUUAAGGCCUUUUACUUUUUCGUGGAUUUUUCUUCAAUCGCUGAUGGCGGUGGAAGGAAGACUGAGUCCUUUACUUUGCAGGAAAAAGCCCUACCUCCUUGGACGUAAAAUGGCAGUGUGAUCUCAAGGAAUCUCGGAAAGAGUAAACAGGCUGGAGUUAUUUUUGGUUGCUAGCACAACACAAUGCAAGAAUGUCUUUCCGAACAAUUGUUUGGUUUGCUUACCAGUACCUUUGCUGAUCAACCUUUUAUUUUCAAGAAAUUUACGGUUCUCAUUCUCUCAUUUAUGCGAUAUCAAAUGGAUAUGUGAUGCUUUAACUUCUCCAAUAGGAUUUCCGGCUUCGCAAUUCUAAUAUGUACGAAAUAUCGAUCCUGGUUUGCCUCUGUUUCUUAUCAACUACAGUGUUGGGAAGUUUCAUGGUGUAUUUGAGGCUACUAGCCAAGGUGACCAGAAUAUUAGUCCAUAUGCUUGGACUGCUGAUGGCAUGGAUUAUACUCCAUAUUCUGCACAGGAUCUCUUAUUAUUUUGUUGAUGAGGUUAAAAUUAAGACUGCGGAUGCAGUGCCACCUCUUGUUGAAAGAUCAGUUUAGGCCGACCAUUUCUGACAAUUGUUAUGAGCCAAAGCUUUCUUUGGUUUGAACUGGACCAACGACAGACAAACAGGUUGAUUGCUUUGUUUUCAUCUUCACCUAUCUUGGAGACUGUUUCCCAUCGCAAUGAGUGAGAAGUUUCUCGAAAGCUUUACAAACUAUCAAUGUAAGAGAAGCCAGCAACAAUAGUGAGGUAUUUUCUUCAAAUAUAAAUGUUGCUUGUCUAGAUUCAAAGAAAAAGUGGAGAUCCUAGUUCAAGGUCUCCCCUACAAAUGCGAGAGAGGAUGGUGAAAAUUUAAGGAAACCAACGUCUGAAUUAAACCUUUCUAAUUCAACUCAUUCUGGCUACGAGUGGGAGGACCUUUCUUGUACAUCACAUUCUCCUGAAGAAGAAAGCAAGUCUUGUGAAGCUCCUUCCAAUGGUUCUUGAAGACAUAGUGAAAUUGAAGAAUGUCCAUUGUUCAAAUCAGGAAUGAAAUUUAUUCUUCUUCCUAUUCUGAUGUCAAAGUUGAAGAUGAAGAGUACAAGUCAGCGAGCUGCUUUGGAGGUGAAAUGUUCCUUAGUCAUAUCUUGAAGAUGUAGCAGAAAAUGUCAAAGGCGAUGCACUUUUCAAAAGCGACGAAGAGAAUUUGUUAGAGGAUAAUCACGAGGACAUUCAGACUCUUUGGAUGAGAAUAGGGAACAGUUGUUUAGGAGCUAAUAACGUGGUUUGAAUUCUGAUUGUCAGCUGUAGCUGAGAUACUAGCAGAAGUCAGAGAACUGAAAGUUGUUACACGUAAAAACAAGUUCAGAAAUCAACUUAUUGCAGCAGGAGCUGGUAUGAAUCAUUUCACGUGACGAUGCUUCUUUGUUAUUGACAUUUGCUGGAUCAAAAACUAAAAUUCAAAGUUUAAAAUGCUGUUGCAAGAUGUCGGGAAGUGGCAUAAAUACUAAUAAGAUCAGCAUGGAAGGAAAAUAGCUUCAGUCAACUAAAGCGAUGCAUGCAAGCCUUGAUGAAUCUGUAUUGAUCGUGGGAGGUUUUGAUGGUUCUUCUUUGUUAUCAAUUAUGACUUGCUGGUAUCCUUCCAGUGAUAUUAUGGGAUCUCUUCCUGCAAUGAGUUGAAUCAUAUAGUUUAGCGGCCCAUCAGUGGGUUAGUCGACCUUCAUUGAAUCAAAAGAAGGAAGUUUGGCUGGAGUAUCCUUAAAUCAUAAAAUUUUUGCAAUUGGUGGUGGAAAUGGAGUUGAAUGCUUCUCAGAAGUAUAAAUAUCCGAUUUAGACGCUCGAAGGUGGAUCCAAGCUCCAUCCAUGAGACAUGAGAGAAAUGGCUAUUGAAGUCUCAACCAAUGGGAAUUGCUGCUUGGUGUCUCUGAAGCAAGGAAACGGUGUUGCGAAAUUCAAGACUAUUGUUCUUAGCUUCUCCCAUCAGUUUAUGCUUCGGUGGUCUAUAAACAUGGAACUCUCGGAAAGGGUAGUGUGUUACGAGUUUGGGGGUUAGUCAACCCCACAGCAUUUGGCAAAAGAUGCUUUUUCUCUGCCGUCGUUUUGUAAGUUGAGCAAUUUAUGGGCGUUUGGGGACAAUGUAUUAUGCAUUAUGUUAACGAAAAGUAAACAAUGUACAUAAGAAAUUAAAAAUAUUGAUAUGAAUUGUUGUAAAAAGUUAGGUAGGAUCGCGAUGGAUGAGGGGAGAAGCUUAAUGGACUGUUUGUUUGCAGGCUUGUAGCUAUUCUCCUUUCUAGGGAUAUUCUUAACUUGCUCCGGGCGUAGAAAGAAAAAAAAAAGAAUCUAGUGUCACUAUGAGGGGCAUGGUUGAAGAGGUUGGAGCACUGGAAUGUGAAAUCAAGGUUUUGUCAAGCAGAGGCGUGAAGGUUUGUGACUUUCUCCGAUAACUACUUCGUAAUUUCCUUAUUAAGAUAUUUUAGAGAGUAAAAAAGGUUACUUCGAGAAAUUUUAUUGAGGAGAUUUAAAGAAUUUGUUAGAGAGAGAACGACCGGUUGGCUAGAGAAAAAUAAUUUAGACAGUUAUUUUAAUGAGAAAAAAAGUUGAAGCUUUAGAGGGGGAAAUAAAGAAAAUAUUCUGGGGAGGAUAUAAUUUGGAAAGCAAGAUAUACAAGAGCGAGAAAGGAAAGGGAGAAAAAAUCACAUGAAGGGAAACUAAGUCUUAGAGUGAAGGAAUAUUUAUAGUGUUUUAUAAAAUCAUAGGUAAACAAUUCUAACUUUUAAAAUAGUAGCUAAAUUCUUUUUUUUU